rnacentral:tRNA from 1 species
GCCCUUAUAGCUCAGUGGUAGAGCGCAUCACUCGUAAUUUGGCUUACGUAAUUAUUAUGAUGAGGUCCAUCGUUCAAUCCGGUGUGAGGGCA